rnacentral:lncRNA from 1 species
GAAGAAAGGGCACUCAUACUCUGAGAUCAUCAAUGAGAGUGUGAUAGAGGCAGUGGAUUCUUUAAAUCCUUUUAUGCAUGCUCGUGGAGUUUCGUUCAUGGUUGACAACUGCUCUACAACAGCACGAUUGGGUUCAAGGAAAUGGGCCCCUCGAUUCGAUUACAUCCUUACCCAACAGGCUUUGGUGGCAGUUGAUAAGGGCACCCCCAUCAACCAAGAUCUGAUCAGCAACUUCCUGUCAGACCCGGUGCACGGUGCCAUUGAAGUGUGUGCUCAGUUGAGGCCCACAGUUGACAUUUCAGUGCCCCCAGAUGCUGAUUUUGUGCGACCAGAGUUGCGUCAAUCUGGCAAUUGAGCCCUAGA